AGUCUUUUAUAUUUUUAGCUGAGUGAAACCCUAGCUGCUUCAGCAGACCCUUUUAACAACAAAAUUCUUACUGUUCUUACUGUUGUCCACAGUCUGGAGGGCUAGAGAGUCAUUUUUACAAUUUAUUUUCAAAACUAGAACACUGUGUAAAAGACCGCAGAGAAAUGAAGUGUGACCACGGAAACGCAGCUGAGAGAGCCAAACUCCCGGCUGAAUCUGCACUUUGGAACGCUCUGACUGUGGAAUGCCGCCUCAGAUGCUCCUGACAGACAGGCCAGUGGUAUAGAAGCACGACAGAUAGUUUAAAUGUCGGAAUUUAAGCUGGUUAGCACAUGCUGAGAGGCUAGAUUUAUGAUUCCUGUGGUCCUGGAGGAAUGACCAUUUGAGCAUCAGGAAACCAGACUUUCCCAUCGCCUCUGGGGCCACAGUUACAAUGAUCUCUCCAGAAUGGAAAUUAAACCAGAAUGAAAGCUACCUGAAAGACUCCUGAUUGGCCAACAACCACAGAGCAAUCUGCACCAGCUUGUAGGCCCAGAUGGAAGUUCAGCCCACUCCACUUUCGUUCAUGUGUUAGGACGCGUUUUGAAGUCAUCGUCUAUGAAGAGAGGUAUGGCCUUCUCAGGGUAGUCAGGAAUCGUGUUUCUCGAACACGGCUUGUCCUCUGUAACACCACACAAAAGAUUUUAAAAAAAUAACAUAAAAGCUGGAUAAUCUGGUAAGAAAGUUCAGCAAAAGAGCGAAUCACUGGGAAGGGUUGCUUUAUCUGCUGGAAUACAGGCACCCAAGUGUUCUUCAUCAACCGCUUAACAAGCUCCCUCUGCAGCUCCACCUACAGGCAAAAAGAGGCGAUCUCCAAGCAGAGGGAAAAAACCGGGAAGCUGAAACAGGAACGCAACAGUCGUCUUUAUCAGGCCACCGUCAUGUCCAAGGUCAUUGACUUAUACGGCCUGCUUUACAUUAACAGCAUACAAAAAAGAGACAGGAACCUUGUAUUCUGUGAAGCAAAAGGUUUAUUAUAUGAUACAUCAUGUAUGAUUAUAUUCCUAGAUUCAAUAAUUAAAAAAAAAAAAUUUUCUUUGAUUAUGUAUGUUGUAUUUUAUUACACUAUUUUAAAAAUGGGGACCGUAAGGUUUGAGAAAAGGAGGCAAAUGUUUUUGCAAUUGACAAGUGCACUUAAAGUCCUUAAAGAAAACAGCUCCAUCCUGGACAAAGUCAUUUCAGGCAACAUUUCUCACUAUUUUCUUGGAUUUUCAUUCUUUUCCAGUAUUAAAGUUUGUUUGAUUGAA